rnacentral:rRNA from 1 species
GACGAACGCUGGCGGCGUGCCUAAUACAUGCAAGUAGAACGCUGAAGGAGGAGCUUGCUCUUCUGGAUGAGUUGCGAACGGGUGAGUAACGCGUAGGUAACCUGCCUGGUAGCGGGGGAUAACUAUUGGAAACGAUAGCUAAUACCGCAUAACAGUAGAUGUUGCAUGACAUUUACUUAAAAGGUGCAAUUGCAUCACUACCAGAUGGACCUGCGUUGUAUUAGCUAGUUGGUGGGGUAACGGCUCACCAAGGCGACGAUACAUAGCCGACCUGAGAGGGUGAUCGGCCACACUGGGACUGAGACACGGCCCAGACUCCUACGGGAGGCAGCAGUAGGGAAUCUUCGGCAAUGGACGGAAGUCUGACCGAGCAACGCCGCGUGAGUGAAGAAGGUUUUCGGAUCGUAAAGCUCUGUUGUAAGAGAAGAACGAGUGUGAGAGUGGAAAGUUCACACUGUAACGGUAUCUUACCAGAAAGGGACGGCUAACUACGUG